UAGAGGGCACACUAUGAGCAAGCUUGAGAAUGGUGAGUGGUAGUUCCACCAAUCCCACCUAGAAUUUUUUCAUUGAGAUAUGGUUUAGCCAAGUUGCCUCUAUUUUUUUUUCCCUUGUCUACCAAAAAAAAACAUGUUUUGACUGUGUGGCGCUUGGAAAGUUCAAGUUCAAUCUCAUUUUGACCCCUUAUCUGCCCUGGAUGAAAGAAAAAUAAUACAAUUUACACAUGUCUGUCAUCCAAAAUGGACCAUGCAGCCUUCUCCUCCUCACUAUUCUCAUGAUCCAGGUCUAUCCACAUAGGCUUGUCUACAUAUGCAUUGUUUACAUAGGCAUUGUCUAAAACAUUCCAUUUUGGCCCACUGGAUCUUGGACAAUGAGGCAUCACAAAAAAUAUGGAGGUUGUCCAUAGCAUUCUCUAUAGAAUCAAAAAAAAUCUAGAAGUAUUCCAUAGUGUUCUUCAUAAAAUUCUGGUCCUUAUGAAUAAUAUGAAAGAGUUGUAUGUAGAAUGUUGAUUAACCAACUAUCUAGAUCCAUGUUCUGGGAGGGGAAUGCCUUUGAUAAGAUCUUGAGCAACCCCACGAUAAAUGAGAUAAUCUAGGGCCUUUACUGCCAUUUUAAAAAAGACUUAUGUUGGAUGGACCCUAAGCGUCCCAUAUCCUAUUAUUUACACUUGUUGAUAGGCAGGAAGACUGAGGCUUUGCAGAGUGUCUCAGAAGCGUAGAGGAAAAAAUUCUCGAAUUCCAUGGCCUUGAUCAUGCCUAUAUUUGAGGGUCAUUCGAUCAUGUCAUAAGAUUUCCCAAAAAUCAAUCCCAAUGAAGAGGGUGUUGAAAUCAAGGAAACAUUUGAGGGAAUUCCAUAACUUUUUCCCCUUCAAGUAAUAUCACAGACAACAUGCACUCAUUUUCCUCCUUUCCAUCAAUCAUGUGAAUAUCCAUACAAACUAACGAAUGGAUUUCCAAUGAUUUGUCAAUAAUCCAUUUCUAUAAAAGGGCACAUUCAUCAUUAGACACAUAGAAGUUGGAUAAACCCAACAACCUUCCAUCCAGAGUCAACAAAAGUGAAACCCAUUUUUGAGAUUUGUUGGUGCCUCAUCCUAUAAUUGACGACAACGUUAGGAAAUUUGGAGACGUCGUUGGGGGCCCCGGGAAGAGUUAUCUUUUCUUUUUAAUAGCUUGCCCACCCUGAAAUCGUCUCAACCAAAGAUAGGGUCCAAAAGCUGGAAGAGCAUUGCACGUCUUGUGGUGUCUGGUGUGCCCUCGAUGGCCCUUGAAAAUAUGGAGGACCGAGUACCGUCCAUGCCCGGUCAUACUCAUAUCUGCAUCAGAUCUCCAAGGUGAACAACCUCUAGUCAAUAGAACAAUGUAGGUAAGGGAAGUCGGCAAAACAUAUACGUAACUUCAGGAAAAGGAUUGGCUCUAAGGGCUGAGCCUAGGGGUCUAUGUCCUCAACUCGUUGGUUGUCGAUAGUCUUCCCAAGAUGUUAUCACGGCGAGGGUGGGUAGUCACAUGUCAAUUGGGCUACGAACGUAGGAUGUCCCCUCAUGGGGGAUUUUCCCUAGGCAGCGAAUAGUCAACACAUAACUAGUAUAGACAAGAGGAAUAUGACUGUUUAAUUAAAACAAAGCAUUGCGAUGGUCCCUGAGAAUGCUGACACAAUGUGAUUUAUGCCUAGUUCUCUGAAUUUCAAAGUGAAGAAAUUCAACCAAGCAUGGGUAAAUGAAUAGAGACUUCAAUCCUUAGAAUCCUUGAGUUCACAACAAGGAUCAAUAUCAAGAAGGAUAGAGACUUGGAGAAGU
rnacentral:ncRNA from 1 species